rnacentral:lncRNA from 1 species
AAAAAUGAACGAAGGGUGAAGAUUAAGCCAAUUGAAUGGCACAUUAACAGAUUUAGAAUGAUGUUCUGUCUAAGGGGGAUUGAAGUACGUAAGAUAAGAAAGAGAAUGGCUUUGGAACGACCUCGUUCUGAGUUAUAACGAAUAAGUUAUGAAAGCAGGAAGUAAGAGUCUCAAAUUAGAUUUAACACAUAGAGAAAUUUUCUAGGAUUAUGGCUUGGCGCUGCGGCGCCAACCAUGCCUUGUAAGGUGGCGCUGCAGCGCCAGAUCAGGAAGCUGAGUACUGCAAACUCGUGUCGCGGUGUGAGAGAUAAAGAAGAGAGUGGUGUCGCAGCGCCAGUGUAG